UACGGGGGGGGCAAGCGUUGUUCGGAAUUACUGGGCGUAAAGGGCUCGUAGGCGGCCAACUAAGUCAGACGUGAAAUCCCUCGGCUUAACCGGGGAACUGCGUCUGAUACUGGAUGGCUUGAGUUUGGGAGAGGGAUGCGGAAUUCCAGGUGUAGCGGUGAAAUGCGUAGAUAUCUGGAGGAACACCGGUGGCGAAGGCGGCAUCCUGGACCUUCACUGACGCUGAGGCGCGAAAGCUAGGGUAGCGAACGGG
rnacentral:rRNA from 1 species